rnacentral:rRNA from 1 species
CCUACGGGUGGCAGCAGUGGGGGAUAUUGCACAAUGGGGGGAACCCUGAUGCAGCGACGCCGCGUGGGUGAAGGAGUGCUUCGGCAUGUAAAGCCCUAUCGGCAGGGAAGAAGCAAGACGGUACCUGACUAAGAAGCCCCGGCUAACUACGUGCCAGCAGCCGCGGUAAUACGUAGGGGGCGAGCGUUAGCCGGAUUCACUGGGUGUAAAGGGAGCGUAGACGGCCAUGCAAGCCAGGGGUGAAAGCCCGGGGCCCAACCCCGGGACUGCCCUUGGGACUGUGCGGCUAGAGUGCGGGAGGGGCAGGCGGAAUUCCUGGUGUAGCGGUGAAAUGCGUAGAGAUCAGGAGGAACACCGGCGGCGAAGGCGGCCUGCUGGACCGCGACUGACGUUGAGGCUCGAAAGCGUGGGGAGCGAACAGGAUUAGAUACCCCUGUAGUC